rnacentral:rRNA from 1 species
GACGAACGCUGGCGGCGCGCUUAACACAUGCAAGUCGAGCGAGAACCGGGACUUCGGUCCCGGGGACAGCGGCGAACGGGUGAGUAACACGUGGGUAAUCAACCCUCGGCACCGGGAUAGCCCGAGGAAACUCGGAUUAAUACCGGAUAGCCCCUCCGACUCUCGAGUCGGUCGGGAAAGGUAGCUUAGGCCUCUGGCCGGGGACGAGCCCGCGGCGGAUUAGCUUGUUGGUGGGGUAAUGGCCUACCAAGGCAACGAUCCGAGCUGGUCUGAGAGGACGAUCAGCCACACUGGGACUGAGACACGGCCCAGACUCUUACGGGAGGCAGCAGUGGGAAUCUUGCGCAAUGGGCGAAAGCCUGACGCAGCGACGCCGCGUGA